AGUGAACGCUGGCGGUAGGCCUAACACAUGCAAGUCGAACGGCAGCACAGUAAGAGCUUGCUCUUACGGGUGGCGAGUGGCGGACGGGUGAGGAAUACAUCGGAAUCUACUUUUUCGUGGGGGAUAACGUAGGGAAACUUACGCUAAUACCGCAUACGACCUACGGGUGAAAGCAGGGGAUCUUCGGACCUUGCGCGAUUGAAUGAGCCGAUGUCGGAUUAGCUAGUUGGCGGGGUAAAGGCCCACCAAGGCGACGAUCCGUAGCUGGUCUGAGAGGGUGAUCAGCCACACUGGAACUGAGACACGGUCCAGACUCCUACGGGAGGCAGCAGUGGGGAAUAUUGGGCAAUGGGCGCAAGCCUGAUCCAGCCAUACCGCGUGGGUGAAGAAGGCCUUCGGGUUGUAAAGCCCUUUUGUUGGGAAAGAAAAGCAGCAGGUUAAUACCCCGCUGUUCUGACGGUACCCAAAGAAUAAGCACCGGCUAACUUCGUG
rnacentral:rRNA from 1 species